GACGAACGCUGGCGGCGUGCUUAACACAUGCAAGUCGAACGGAAAGGCCCUGCUUUUGUGGGGUGCUCGAGUGGCGAACGGGUGAGUAACACGUGAGUAACCUGCCCUUGACUCUGGGAUAACUUCAGGAAGCUGGGGCUAAUACCGGAUAGGAGCUCCUGCUGCAUGGUGGGGGUUGGAAAGUUUCGGCGGUUGGGGAUGGACUCGCGGCUUAUCAGCUUGUUGGUGGGGUAGUGGCUUACCAAGGCUUUGACGGGUAGCCGGCCUGAGAGGGUGACCGGCCACAUUGGGACUGAGAUACGGCCCAGACUCCUACGGGAGGCAGCAGUGGGGAAUAUUGCACAAUGGGCGGAAGCCUGAUGCAGCAACGCCGCGUGCGGGAUGACGGCCUUCGGGUUGUAAACCGCUUUCGCCUGUGACGAAGCGUGAGUGACGGUAAUGGGUAAAGAAGCACCGGCUAACUACGUG
rnacentral:rRNA from 1 species